rnacentral:rRNA from 1 species
UACAGAGGAGCCAAGCGUUGUCCGGAUUGACUGGGCGUAAAGCGCACGCAGGCGGACGCGCGCGUGGGGUGUGAAAUCUGGCCGCUUAACGGCCAGGCGCCAUCCCAUACGGCGCGACUGGAGUGAUGCAGAGGUCGAUGGAAUUGCCGGUGUAGUGGUGAAAUGCGUAGAGAUCGGCAGGAACACCCAGGGGGAAACCAGUCGACUGGGCAUCUACUGACGCUGAGGUGCGAGAGCGUGGGGAGCGAACAGG